UCCCUGGUGGUCCAGUAGUCAAGACUCCGCACUCCCAAUCCAGGGGGCGUAGGUUCAAUUCCUGGUCAGGGAA
rnacentral:tRNA from 1 species